CCAGAGAACUUUCCAGAGAUGGAUUGGUGCCUUCGGAACUCUGAGACAGGUGCUGCAUGGCUGUCGUCAGCUCGUGUUGUGAAAUGUUGGGUUAAGUCCCGCAACGAGCGCAACCCUUAUCCUUUGUUGCCAGCGGUCCGGCCGGGAACUCAAAGGAGACUGCCAGUGAUAAACUGGAGGAAGGUGGGGAUGACGUCAAGUCAUCAUGGCCCUUACGAGUAGGGCUACACACGUGCUACAAUGGCGCAUACAAAGAGAAGCGACCUCGCGAGAGCAAGCGGACCUCAUAAAGUGCGUCGUAGUCCGGAUUGGAGUCUGCAACUCGACUCCAUGAAGUCGGAAUCGCUAGUAAUCGUGGAUCAGAAUGCCACGGUGAAUACGUUCCCGGGCCCUGUACACACCGCCCGUCACACCAUGGGAGUGGGUUGCAAAAGAAGUAGGUAGCUUAACCUUCGGGAGGGCGCUUACCACUUUGUGAUUCAUGACUGGGGUGAAGUCGUAACAAGGUAAGCGUAGUGCU
rnacentral:rRNA from 1 species